UACGAAGGGGGCUAGCGUUGUUCGGAAUUACUGGGCGUAAAGCGUGCGCAGGCGGCUUCUCAAGUCAGGGGUGAAAGCCCAGAGCUCAACUCUGGAAUUGCCUUUGAGACUGAGUGGCUUGAGUACGGGAGAGGUGAGUGGAAUUCCCAGUGUAGAGGUGAAAUUCGUAGAUAUUGGGAAGAACACCGGUGGCGAAGGCGGCACACUGGCCCGUAACUGACGCUCAUGCACGACAGCGUGGGGAUCAAACAGG
rnacentral:rRNA from 1 species